CUAGCGACUUCAGAGUUUGAUCCUGGCUCAGGAUGAACGCUAGCGGCAGGCUUAACACAUGCAAGUCGAGGGGCAGCAUGAAGGUUAGCAAUAACCUUUGAUGGCGACCGGCGCAAGGGUGCGUAACGCGUGAGCAACUUGCCCGUUUCUGGGGAAUAACCGGUGGAAACGCCGACUAAUACCCCAUAGCAUCAGAAUGAGGCAUCUCAAUCUGAUUAAAGAAAUUCGGAAACGGAUAGGCUCGCGUGACAUUAGCUAGAUGGCGGGGUAACGGCCCACCAUGGCUACGAUGUCUAGGGGUUCUGAGAGGAAGGUCCCCCACACUGGAACUGAGACACGGUCCAG
rnacentral:rRNA from 1 species